GUGGGGAGGCCUGGGGAGAAGACUGAUUUGCCUGGUGUGAAAAAAGAUGUAUUUGGCGUUUGUUUUGUAUUCUCCCCUUCCUGCUUUCUGUGAUGUGCAUUGAAAAGCGUAUUGCAUAAAGGUAAACAUUUCUUAGCUGGGUUGUGAAAGGGCCUGAUCCCAGGAGGUGCUCGAAGGUUUCAUCCAAAGUCCAAUAAAGUCAAGGAGAGUCUUUCCAUUGGGUUUGGAUCAGACCUAAAGGGUCCGGAUUCUGCAAUCCUUUUCUGUUCAGCAGAGCACGUAAGCAGGUGCUUAGGUCCCACUGACUGUAGUGGGAUGCUGAAAAGGGAUGGAGUUAAUCACGCAUAUAAAUGCUUUGCUGAACUGGGACCUGGAUGCCUUAAUUCUCUUUAAAGUUGAGUCCAGGUGCUUUGCACCUUUCGAAGCUGCUUAACACCUUUCAGGAUGAGGCCCCCAAGCCUUUGACUCCCCUUCUGCGUGAAGAACCAGUUGUCCAUUUCAGCUUCUUUUUUUCUAGAAGGACAGUGAAAAUAUAAAGCAAAGGAAAGCACCCAACAUGUUUGACCUCCCUCAUUAUCAUUUUGAAUAGAUUAAAAUUGGUUCCAAAGCUAAAUAUUUAAUUUUAGAUUUUGCCAUCUUUAGUCAAAAUAUCAGCUGUUAGAAGCAGGCAUUUGGAGUUAUGGAAAAGGUCAUCUUUUACCAGGGAGUUAGUUUUACUCGUGGGUUUUUUUUUCUUUUCUAUUUUAAAAAAAAAUCUAAAAACUUGAAUAGCCAACAAGAUACCAGCAAAAAAACAGCAUCAUUUGCCAUGGUCAGAGGAGUGUCAUAGCGAGCAGCAUUUCAUUUGCAGUUUGCCUUUAGUGUGCUAUAAACACGUUGACCCAGGAUUAGGAUUUCUUCACCAGUUUGCAAACACUUUCAGAAGCCUAAUUCUCAUUUACCUGCUGGGCUGUUUACACUGCUGAUGCAGUAUAAAGGGGCCUUAAAGUAAUUAUGAGUUAUAUUCAUGCCUACUUUAAGAUGCCAUUACACUGCCAGAGUGGUGUUAAAGAGUUUUAUUGUAAAUUAAUUUGACCUCUUUCCAUGGGCUACAAAGUUGCAAUUAACCUAACUGGGCAUCCUCUUCCAAAGACGCAUGAUGACUUUCUAGCCCAUGUCCGUACCACGUUUUGUCCUCUCCCUGAAUACUGAGAUGCUUUCCUCCGCGUCCCACGCAACUCUUGUUCUGAAGGGCUGUCCACUAUCAAUUCUGUCUGCCAGGUUGCAUCACGCAAGACUGUUCAAACCCCAAAAAAUCAUGGUCAUUCCUCCUGAUGGGCUCACUCCAGCAAGGUGAUGAGUGCAUUUGUUGAUGGAACAAAUCAUCUGAAUAAAGUUUUGGGAAUUGGGCCAAAAAAGUCUCAGAAGAACUGAUAUGGAUGCCUUGCAGACAUGCCUUAAGAGCCUAAACCAACCGGACACUAAGCUUGGGCUUAAAUGUUAAGUCCGUCCGUACUCCAUUGACUUCAAUGGAACUGACCCUCUGCUUAAAGUGAAGCAUGUGUUUGAGAGUUUUGUUGGAUCAGGGUCUGUGGUGGGAAUGGAAAAUCAAAAUGAUCCCAUCCUUAAGUCUUGUGAAGGAACCCUCCCACCUGCCUUUCAUCAUUUAAGCACCUUUGUGGCUAAAAGUAUUUACCUUUAUCUGCUGUGAGAUCUUUUCAUUAGGAAUCCUUCUAUGAAAGGCAUUGAUUCUGAAUGCAAAGUUACUUCUGCUGCUUGCCGGCGAUUUGGUAACAGGCAACCCUAUUUCCUCCUACUGAGCAUCACAGGAAAGCCAAACAACCUGAAACCAAUCACACUGGGCAAAUGCUGUCUUUGUUUACAGUGAGGACUUGUCACUGUGUUAUCAAUUUAUUGAAAUAUUAAAUAUUGAAAAACCUAGACUGUAAAGAUUUUUAUGUGUUUGGAUACAUCUGCUAUGUGAAAAAAAAACUAAUUUUGUACAUAUUGUAUUUUUACUAUUCAGCUGUAUUAUAUUGGCUCUUCAUGCUCCAGAAUUUAGGUAUCAAACAUGAAUAAUAUCCAUGUAAUAAGCACUUGCCUGAAAUAAAAUAUAAAACGGAAAUAAACAUGCACUGAAACCUGAAACAGAAUUUUGCAUCUUCCUCCUCUUGCUUUCCAGAUGGGUAUUUCAGUGUAUUUAUCAUUUUCCAAAAAUAAGGCCCUCUCCUGACUAGAACAAAUAGGUGCUAUCGGGCGGGCGGCCAUUCACGCAAGCAAGCACAAUUGCCACUAGUGUGAGCCUGCAAGAUCAGGUCCUUAAAUAUCUGUUUUGUUAAAUAUCCUUAAAUAUUGAUCAACCUCACUGACCUCCAGAAUUCAGUAUUUGCAUCGAAGCAUUGUUCAAGUAUCAGCGUAAAACACAAUGGGAGGAGUCUAGGAUCCUCAAUCAACAGUUCACAUCAAACCCAGUCACCCGCAACCUGCUUCUUAAUAAGAGUGAUGUUGCCGUAAGUAGAGCUAAUAAUGCACCUUCUAGCUAAAUGCAGCUUGCUUAAUUUGUAGUGGAUUUUGAUUUCUUUCAGGCCACCGACCACAAGAGCUUUGUCAUUGACUUCACCGGGGUGAGGGAUGCGAUCCUUGGUCUGUAAGGCAUAUCCUGUUGAAAUUAAUUAUUGCCAUAACUGGGGCCAGUUGUUCCUAUUGGGCAGCUAGGCAGCUUUUCUGACUGAUGGAAGCAGAUUCUUUUGCCUUACAGGUGUGUUACUAAACUCCAUCCCUGACGCCGCCGCCCUCAUUCAGUAUAGACUAGGGGGUUAUCACAGACAAAUCUCUCCACCUCAGCUGGAGAAACUCUGCUAUCAAAAUGAAACUGCUGCCAAUAGGGUUUCUACCGGAGCAUCCCAGCCCUGAUGCUGUGAGACGUCCAGCGAGGUCCUGGGCAGUCUUUUCAUGAUCCUGUGGGGUCACAGCUUCACCAUCCAGAAACUGGUGCUAGGGCCAGUGACUGUAAUGGGCCAAGAAUAAUUUACAUCCACCGAGGAUCAGUCCCAUAGAUCUCACAUCAGCCUGCCCGGGACUUGGGGUUCGGUCCGGUUACGGAAAAGCAGGAAUAUUCACCUAAGAGGAAUCUGGAUGCCCUCUGCUGGGCAGCUGUGGCAUCAGAGUGGCAAAACCCCCUGAAAUGUUCGAGCGUAUGGCUGGCCGCCCAGAGUCAGCAACAGUCUAUGGCUUCUGGUAGAAAAGUUAGCAGGAUUGAGGUCAUAAAAAGACGCUCGGCUUUCCCGACAGUGCUUUGUUGACGUGUCUGAGCAUGUGGAUGGCUGGAGACACCCACGCACGUUUGCUCUUUCUGCGGUAUCCCAGCUUCAUGCUCCUGUGCGUUUGAAAGGGUGGACCGCUCCAGGAAAUGCCGGGGGCAUCGUCUCCUGGGUCCCCGCUGUGGACGCUGAUGGAUGAGCAGAACGCAGGAGGAAGCAAGAGCUGGAUUCCGGCUGUUACCGCGUGCCAGCACGGGCAGCGGUCAGCACACGUGGAGCAGGAUGGAUGUCUGCGAGGAGUGACGUUCCCCAGGGAGAUCUGGUAGUGGCAGAAGGGACACGUGCCAAGCUGUGCCUUCAAGGGCUGUUGUGAGAUCCAGCAUCGACAGUGAUGAUUGGGGCUGUCUCUCACCUUCCCUUCCUGGAUCGUGUGGAUUGACCUGUUCUCCAAGGAUUAUUUUGGGCAAUUCUGCUCUGCUCCACUCCACUCUGCAAAGGCUCCCUGGGGAUCGCGGCAGGACAACAGAGAUGGUGAAGAGACUGCUGAUUCUGAAUAGACAACCACCUAUAACGACGACACAGAAAAACUCAUUUAAGGGAAGGAGUUAGACAUCCCCCUGCAAUACCGUGCAAUCAGACAGCACUGUGCAUUAGCACGAAGAUCAGAAGCUGACUGGGAGAGCAAGUGAAACUCCAGGACCGCUUUUCUUUCAGGAUGCAAAAAGAAAGCAAAACGUGACUAGCAAAAGGUAAGAUGUGCACUCAUGCUAAGGAUUUGAGAGAAGUCUGUAGUAUGAAGAGUAUUAGUGCAAAGCAGUAUCACUCCAGUAUGUAACAGCAAAACCAAAGCCUGCAAUCCCCCGUCCUCAGAGAACACCAGGUGCGCGUGUGUGUGAUGCACAGGAGUGUGGUCCAGCGGACUCGGAUUGUGGAGAUCUGGGUGCCACACCCAGCUCUGCUCCUCAGCUGCCUUCGGCAAGUCCCUCCAACUCUGUGCCUCAGUUUCCCCUCCCCUCUGGCUUGGCCAUCUCUGGUACAUAUGCAGAAUACACAGCACAAAGGGAGCCCAGUUUUGCCUGAGGCUCUUACCCCCUGCUGUAAUACAGAUAAGAGACCCCGGUCCUAACUAAAAUGCAUUUAGGCUCAGGGUAUUACCUCUCUU